GACGAACGCUGGCGGCGUGCUUAACACAUGCAAGUCGAACGGAAAGACCCUGCUUUUGUGGGGUGCUCGAGUGGCGAACGGGUGAGUAACACGUGAGUAACCUGCCCUUGACUUUGGGAUAACUUCAGGAAACUGGGGCUAAUACCGGAUAGGAGCUCCUGCUGCAUGGUGGGGGUUGGAAAGUUUCGGCGGUUGGGGAUGGACUCGCGGCUUAUCAGCUUGUUGGUGGGGUAGUGGCUUACCAAGGCUUUGACGGGUAGCCGGCCUGAGAGGGUGACCGGCCACAUUGGGACUGAGAUACGGCCCAGACUCCUACGGGAGGCAGCAGUGGGGAAUAUUGCACAAUGGGCGGAAGCCUGAUGCAGAAACGCCGCGUGCGGGAUGACGGCCUUCGGGUUGUAAACCGCUUUCGCCUGUGACGAAGCGUGAGUGACGGUAAUGGGUAAAGAAGCACCGGCUAACUACGUG
rnacentral:rRNA from 1 species